ACCAGGUCUUGACAUCCCGAUGCUAUUCUAGAGAUAGAAAGUUACUUCGGUACAUCGGUGACAGGUGGUGCAUGGUUGUCGUCAGCUCGUGUCGUGAGAUGUUGGGUUAAGUCCCGCAACGAGCGCAACCCCUAUUGUUAGUUGCCAUCAUUCAGUUGGGCACUCUAGCGAGACUGCCGGUAAUAAACCGGAGGAAGGUGGGGAUGACGUCAAAUCAUCAUGCCCCUUAUGACCUGGGCUACACACGUGCUACAAUGGUUGGUACAACGAGUUGCGAGUCGGUGACGGCGAGCUAAUCUCUUAAAGCCAAAUCUCAGUUCGGAUUGUAGGCUGCAACUCGCCUACAUGAAGUCGGAAUCGCUAGUAAUCGCGGAUCAGCACGCCGCGGUGAAUACGUUCCCGGGCCUU
rnacentral:rRNA from 1 species